UAUGAAUGUGUGCCAGCCGCCGCGGUAAUACGUAGGGGGCAAGCGUUAUCCGGAUUUACUGGGUGUAAAGGGAGCGUAGACGGCAUGGCAAGCCAGAUGUGAAAGCCCGGGGCUCAACCCCGGGACUGCAUUUGGAACUGUCAGGCUAGAGUGUCGGAGAGGAAAGCGGAAUUCCUAGUGUAGCGGUGAAAUGCGUAGAUAUUAGGAGGAACACCAGUGGCGAAGGCGGCUUUCUGGACGAUGACUGACGUUGAGGCUCGAAAGCGUGGGGAGCAAACAGG
rnacentral:rRNA from 1 species